rnacentral:rRNA from 1 species
UGGGGAAUUUUGGACAAUGGGCGAAAGCCUGAUCCAGCAAUGCCGCGUGUGUGAAGAAGGCCUUCGGGUUGUAAAGCACUUUUGUCCGGAAAGAAAUCCUUGGCUCUAAUACAGUCGGGGGAUGACGGUACCGGAAGAAUAAGCACCGGCUAACUACGUGCCAGCAGCCGCGGUAAUACGUAGGGUGCAAGCGUUAAUCGGAAUUACUGGGCGUAAAGCGUGCGCAGGCGGUUUGCUAAGACCGAUGUGAAAUCCCCGGGCUCAACCUGGGAACUGCAUUGGUGACUGGCAGGCUAGAGUAUGGCAGAGGGGGGUAGAAUUCCACGUGUAGCAGUGAAAUGCGUAGAGAUGUGGAGGAAUACCGAUGGCGAAGGCAGCCCCCUGGGCCAAUACUGACGCUCAUGCACGAAAGCGUGGGGAGCAAACAGGAUUAGAUACCCUGGUAGUCCACGCCCCAAAACGAUGUCAACUAGUUGUUGGGGAUUCAUUUCCUUAGUAACGUAGCUAACGCGUGAAGUUGACCGCCUGGGGAGUACGGUCGCAAGAUUAAAACUCAAAGGAAUUGACGGGGUCAUAGCUGUUUCCU